rnacentral:rRNA from 1 species
CCUACGGGAGGCAGCAGUGGGGAAUAUUGCACAAUGGGGGAAACCCUGAUGCAGCAACGCCGCGUGAAGGAAGACGGUUUUCGGAUUGUAAACUUCUGUUCUUAGUGAAGAAGAAUGACGGUAGCUAAGGAGCAAGCCACGGCUAACUACGUGCCAGCAGCCGCGGUAAUACGUAGGUGGCAAGCGUUGUCCGGAAUUACUGGGUGUAAAGGGAGCGUAGACGGUAAUGCAAGUCUGGAGUGAACGGCGGGGGCCCAACCCCCGGACUGCUCUGGAAACUGUGUAACUGGAGUGCAGGAGAGGCAGGCGGAAUUCCUAGUGUAGCGGUGAAAUGCGUAGAUAUUAGGAGGAACACCAGUGGCGAAGGCGGCCUGCUGGACUGUAACUGACGUUGAGGCUCGAAAGCGUGGGGAGCAAACAGGAUUAGAUACCCUUGUAGUC